GAACGCUGGCGGCAUGCUUUACACAUGCAAGUCGAACGGCAGCAUAGAGAGCUUGCUCUCUGAUGGCGAGUGGCGAACGGGUGAGUAAUACAUCGGAACGUGUCCUGUUGUGGGGGAUAACUACUCGAAAGAGUGGCUAAUACCGCAUAAGACCUGCGGGUGAAAGCGGGGGACCUUCGGGCCUCGCGCAGUUGGAGCGGCCGAUGACUGAUUAGCUAGUUGGUGGGGUAAAGGCCUACCAAGGCGACGAUCAGUAGCUGGUCUGAGAGGACGACCAGCCACAUUGGGACUGAGACACGGCCCAAACUCCUACGGGAGGCAGCAGUGGGGAAUUUUGGACAAUGGGGGCAACCCUGAUCCAGCCAUGCCGCGUGCGGGAAGAAGGCCUUCGGGUUGUAAACCGCUUUUGUUAGGAACGAAAAGGUUUCUGUGAACAACAGAGAUUGCUGACGGUACCUAAAGAAUAAGCACCGGCUAACUACGUGCCAGCAGCCGCGGUAAUACGUAGGGUGCAAGCGUUAAUCGGAAUUACUGGGCGUAAAGCGUGCGCAGGCGGUUGGGUAAGACAGAUGUGAAAUCCCCGAGCUUAACUUGGGAACUGCAUUUGUGACUGCCUAACUAGAGUAUGUCAGAGGGAGGUGGAAUUCCAAGUGUAGCAGUGAAAUGCGUAGAUAUUUGGAAGAACACCGAUGGCGAAGGCAGCCUCCUGGGAUAAUACUGACGCUCAUGCACGAAAGCGUGGGGAGCAAACAGGAUUAGAUACCCUGGUAGUCCACGCCCUAAACGAUGUCAACUAGUUGUUGGGCCGCAUGGCUUAGUAACACAGCUAACGCGAGAAGUUGACCGCCUGGGGAGUACGGUCGCAAGAUUAAAACUCAAAGGAA
rnacentral:rRNA from 1 species